UCUCCGCCGCUGUCCGCCUCUCCGCCGCGCCGCCGCUGUCCGCCUCUCCGCCGCUGUCCGCCUCUCCGCCGCUGUCCGCCUCUCCGCCACGCCGGCGCUGUGUGCCUUUGCGAGGGCGGAGCUGAGUUCUCCUUUGCACAGACUUCGGAGAUACAGCGAAGGCAGAGCAAUGUUCUCCUCAGCACAGACCCGGGCGGGCGGGCCGGUGGCACCGCGAGGGCGGAGCUGCGUUCUGCUCUGCACAGACCUUGGGGGCACUGCCUCGCUUUGGGACACCUCGGGGCCGCAUCGACGGUGAAUAAAAUCCUUCCUGUUUGCAGCCCUGUUUGUGGUUGGUGGCAGCGAUGGACACUGCAGCCAGCCAGAGCGUAGAAAGGCGUUGGGUGAAAGAAGAUGGCCAUGGAGACAGACAGCAGCAUGGUCAGAGUGGUAGGAGCCGGCCAUCAGCGAGAGCUGCUCCAUGCCUGGCUGCUGGAUGCUAGAGCCUGCGGCCCACUGGCUUGCCUCACUGUGGUUGCUGGUGGUGGUGACAGAGACUGCAGCAUGAACAGAGUGGCUUUUCUGGCUUUGCCUGCCCAGCUGCUCCGUGCCAGGAGGAGGAGGAGACACCUUGAGCCUGCGACACCACGGCUUGCCUCGCUGCGGUCAGUUCUAGAGUGUAUGAAGAACCAAAUGAUGUAAUUGUAUGCGACCUGGCUGUAGUGGAACAAAUUUGACUCUAAAGUAUGCAGGCUCUAAUUUUCCUGUCUGGUUUUGGUAAGUAUUCCUUACAUAGGUUUUUUCUUUGAAAAUCUGGGAUUGAGAGGUUGAUGAAUGAAAAUUAAUCCUUUCACUUUUUUGUAUAUAGGUUUGCAAUAAUCAGGUCAGAGUGGAGUUUUAAGGUCAUGGAGGGGUCUGAUGACUUACAAAUAAUGGGCUCUGAUUGGGCAACUACUCAUCUGAGUUCCUUCCAUUUGACCUAAUUAAGCUUGUGAAAUUUACACUAAGCCAUGAGCUCAUCUUUAAAAAGUUUUAUUAAAAGAUUUUCAGCUGUUCCAAAUGGGACUUGUUAGUGGAAUGUGUUUUAAAGGAUCAUAUCAGAUGAAUGAAAGGUAUUUGGUCCUUCGUUUCCUUAAUAAUAAAAUGAUGGUUUGGAAAAAUAGGCUACAGUCUAACCACAGUGCUAUUAUUAGGCUUUCUUGUUAAACACAGGUCUAAGCCUAAGUAUGUCAAUACAACAAAUACUUACUGUUUCAUUUCUAGUAAUGAAAAAAAAAACAAGUCUUUCUGGCAUAAGGAUGAUUUUCAUCUGGUUAUUUUGAAACAUUUUUGUAAAAUAAAUUUACAUCUAUAAAGAACAUUUUUAUUUGUAAGGAGGGGUAUGUCUCUGUGCACUGGAAGAGAGGGAGGACUAAAUCACUGGGAAGUCUUAUGAUAAAGAAGCCAUUGGCUUAAAUCAGCAAAGCAAGCCAUCCCUUGGUUUAAGGUGUUUUUCCUGGCCAUCCUGUCUUGACUAGAACUUUACCUACACCUUCCUUUUUGGUUUAGGCAAAUUAUAGUAUCUAAAACUGAAGUCUCAGCUCUGUGUCUUUGAGAUAUAAAUGUUCUACCAUGUCUUCUCUGGAACCUGAUAACUAUCUAUCUCUUUAAAAUGAAAGUCUAGGAAGAUGACUCAUCAGAAAAAGAAGAAAAAAGAGGUAUUUGGAAAUUGUGCAAAUUAAAGCAGCCCCUGAUGCCAAAGUCUACACAUUCCUGAGUGAGUCAGUUCUGGCCAGUUCUAGCUGGAUCAAGAGAGCUCUGCUGGGCAGGCCUGAAGAGCACCUGGAUGGCAGACACCUGAGGAGCCAGGUGCCUGAAACUUCCUCCACCUGCUUGAGGAGCGCCAAAGCCCAGGUGCUGGCUGGACAACCCCUUCUGGCUGCCUAAGCAGGUGGCAGAAGAAGGAAACAAGGUCAGAGGCAGAGUGUUGAACCCUGCCUCCCAGGUGGGUGGAAGAUGCCUGUCGCCAAACUAGGUCCCAGCUUGCCGGGUGAGAUGGGUGAACUGGUGAUCCCCCGAGAGAGUGGACGUCAGAACUACAUGUUUCCGGACUUCACCUUGGCCAGCGAAGGAGAGAGAGGGUUAAUGUUAACUGCACGAGGCCCACUCUAGCCUUAAAUUCUGUAAUUCAAACCCUUCCCUUGGAGACAAAACAAACAUGACAAGGAAUUCUGAGGUCAGGGGACAAGAAUCACAAGUUCCCUAGUGGGAGACUGAGGAGGCAGUGUCCUUCCUGCCCUUGGUCUACUGGCUAAGAACCUUCCUCAGCCUGACCUUUCCACAUUGCACUUUCAGCUCUGUUUGCAAUUGUCCUCCUUUAGUGCUGAGGGAAUCCCAGUGUUCGAUCCUGAAAUCUAUAGGUUCCUAAUGGGUGGUUAAAAAAAACCUCAGCGAGAGAAGCAGAAAAUGUUUCCUUUUCCUGAAAAACUGUAGAAAGGCAGGCACCAUUCUGGGUGAGGACAUGGUCCUUGCAAAUGUCUUUGUGUUUUGUGUUUUUUUUUUUUUUUUUUUUUUUUGAGAUGAAGUUUUGCUCUUGUUGCCCAGACUGGAGUGCAGUGGUGUGAUCUCUGCUCAUUGCAACCUCCACCUCCUGGGUUCAAGCAGUUCUCCUACCUCAGCCUCCUGAGUAGCUGGAAUUACAGGCACCUGCCACCACACCUGGCUAAUUUUUUGUAUUUUUAGUAGAGAUGGGGUUUUGCCAUGUUGGUCUCGAACUCCUGACCUCAAGUGAGCCACCCGCUUCUGCCUCCCAAAGUGCUGGGAUUACAGGAGUGAGCCACCGCGUCCAGCCUGCAAACAUCUUUAAAGACAGCGUGUUUCAGAGGCUGUGACGGUGCCUUGUGAACAUGCCAAUUCUCGCAGUCCCGGGAGCUCUGAGGAGCAGGCCCAGCUCCUUGCCAGGCUGAUGGUACUGAAACUCUGCUCUCCAAGACAUAACCUGAUGGCCGUGCAAGAUUUCUUAAUCGACUGUGGACCGUGAGAGUCUGCAUCUCAUUUUAAUUAAGAUGGGAAAAGAAAGAACAAAAGAGCAACUCCCAGGUUAUAGAGAAACUGGAUUUUAGUGUAAUAUUGAAGUGUAGCAUUGCUAAUAAUAACAAACCUUUCCCCUGCCAAACGGUAAACACUUGCACUGCCUAUUAUACAAAAAUUCAACCACCCUCUCUGUUCCCCCGAUAUCUCCUCCCCAGUGACCCCCCUCUCAUGCGGCCUCAUGAGCCUGGCCAGUGGUGAAUGGCACUUUCAUGGGCAUGAGACUCCACGUGAGUGGGACUCAGCUGGGACCCCUCUCCCCGUGGGAGCUGGAGAAGCCACCCUAGUGCCAGCUCAAAGUGUCUGUGAUGUCCCUGCUGCUGAGGUAGGGGCCGCCUCUGAGCUGGUCUUGGGGUGUGAGCUGCUGCUGGUAGUGGGCUCUGCCCUGAGGGCCUGGUGGCUGGUCAGAACGGCAGGCACACAUGGGUGACUCCCUAGGAACUCAGCCCACCUCCCCACCACAGCCCUGCACUGUGUGCUCCAGGCAUGUGCUGAGUGCCUGGUCAAUCACCAGUACCCUAUUGAUCCCCGUCUCCAGAGAGAUCAUUUAGUGUCACUCCACAGAGGGGGAAACUGAGGCCCAGAGAAGUAAGGUGACUCUCCCCAGUCACAGGGCUGCUCAGCAGUAGGAUGGGAGGCUAGUCCCUUGCUGUCUGACUCCCUGAGCCCACCCAUAUCCCAAGGCAGCCAACCUCUGCCCGCCCUGGUUCAGGCCCUGACUGGCCCCUGUGGUGGGUGAUGUCUAUCUUCCUGGACUUUAUGCUCCCAGCCAACUGGGAUGGAGCCUCCAGCUGGCAUGACAGGUUGUAGCUAUGGACAGAAGAGUGGCUGUGAGGCUGCCAGGAAUCUCACCAGGGCCCCCUCCCAGGGCCUGUCCAGAGUGAGGUCUGGGUACCCCAGGCAUUGCCAGACCACAGGAUCUGAUGUUGGCCAAGAGGCCAUGGCCACAGGCUUUCUGAGGCUGGCCCCCAGGGAGAGUUCAAUCCUACUAUCCCAAUUCCUGCCCUGGCCUUACCUCUCAGUCUCACCGAGCCGCUUCAUGGUCCCAAACCAGGACCCAAAGUGCUGCUUGGGCUCAAGGUUGUAAUUAUUUGCAGCCAACUGGAGCAGCGGACCUCCUUGCUUACUUUGAAUUCCUGGGUCCAGAGGGAAAAACUGGGUGGUGACAGGGACUGGACAGGGAUGCCACAGGGGCCCUGUGGGGGUGUUAGAUGGGGUGGUGGCCAGUCUUUGCUCAUAGGGCACAACCUCCUCCUCUCCAGUCCUGUCUCCACCUGUUCUCAGAGCUGGCUCAAACGGCAGCUCCUCCAGGAAGGUGUCCUUGGUUUCAACCUGGUACUCCCACCUGCAGGUCUUCCUGGAGUGUCUCCUCUUUGUCUCUGUCUCCCCAUAAAUCUAAGAUGAGGGGGAUGGAUUUGCCCACCGCUACUCACCAUAUGACUCUUGUGAGGUUGAUCAGUCUCCCCUGGAAGGCCAACAGCUGAAGUCCAUCAGAAAGGGUCCUCUGGCCCAGAGCCAGCCCCUGCCCACCCCUGUCAUGCUGCACCCAGGGUGCAAGACCCAGAUCAGGUCUGGGUGACAGGAGGGCUAUAGAGGGGCUGAGACUCAGGGGCCUUCUAGCCUAACUUGUCUGGAGACAUUUGGGGAAACUGAGACCCCAAGCAGGGAGGUAUGGCUCCGAGAGAUUAUUCUCAUUAAUCUGGAACAUUUUUGCAAGCUGUUAGGUAUAGGAAGUCUGUCACAGGUAAGAGAAAUGCUUUUUGAGAGCAUGAGAGACAGCAGGGUUGUGACAAUAUUGAAACACCACCAUGCAGAUUCACCAAUUGCCACCACCGGGAGCCCCCUGAGAGCCAUUGCAGAUGCACAGCCCUCCCCUGCAACCCCUGGACCUCCCCAUGGUCUGGCACCUAAAGGGUUAUGCCUUAUGGCAGGAAUCAGGGCCCUCAGGAUGCCCUGCCCACUCCAAGGUCUGCCUCUGCUCUGAUUGGUCACUGACAUUCAGAUAGUCACCCAAAUAUAAGGACGUUAGCAGAAAGACUCAUUCAAUACAAGUGGACUCAGACAUAGAUAGGAAUUGGGUUGCAAAAAGCCCCUUUUGUUUCUUUUAUUUUAUUUUGGAAAAAACUUUUAUUGUGAAAAUUCACAUGUAUGUAUAGAAAAAAAUUCAAUUAAUGCAAAAGGAUAGACAAUGAACAAAUGAAUUCCCCUUCCACUCCAGAUCCCCAACUCAGAUCCAGACCUCCUGAGCCCACUUCCCCCAUCUCAUCACAGAUCCAGACCUCCUGAGCCCACUUUCCCCAUCUCAUCACAGAUCCAGACCUCCUGAGCCCACUUCCCCAUCUCAUCACCAGUGAUUUCUUGGGCUCUGCAUUAGUUUUCUAUUGCUGCUGCAACAAACAGCUACAGACUCAGUGGCUUCCAUUUCUGUCUUAUAGUUCUGGUUGCCAAAAGUCCUAAGAGGAUCUCACUGGGCUAAAGUCAAGGUGCUGGCAGGGCUAUGUCCCUUCUGGAGGCUCAAGGGAUGAAUCGGGUCCCUGCCUUUUCUAGCUUCUAGGGGCUCCAGCUUCUAGGUUUGUGGCCUCCUUCCUCCAUCCUCAAAGCCAGCAACAGCAGGUGAAGUCCUCGCCCAUCGUGCAUCACUCUCCCUUCUGCCUCCUUCAACAUUUUUUUUUUAUAUUUAGGGGGAACGAGUACAGGAUUCUUACAUAGUCAAAAAGCUCCUUAUAGAGAAGCUCGGAACUUUCAAUACAGCUUUGCCUUUUUUGCCAUUUUAAUUUUCCAUUUAAUUUAAAUGUAUUCUCUCAUUUGAUCUUCAUACUCUGUGGAGAAAUAUUUCUAUUUCAGCUUGUAUUGACAAGCUGUUUUCACACAGCCCCCGCAUCACCCAACCAACCAGCCGAGAUCCUCAUUCCCAUGAAACAGAUAAAGAAACUGAGGCCCAGGGAGGCUAAGAGUCCUACCAGGAUCAUUCACCUUCCAAGGUAAGGAGCCCGUUCCAGACCUGGGUUUGUGCAGCUCCAAGCUCCCCCGUCUUUCUACAAUGCUAGAUUUAGACUAUAGCAAUCUAGCAAGUGUGGCCACACAAUGGUCAAGUUGGAUUUAGAUGAUGUUCUCUAUAAAUCCAUUCUCCUCUCCCGUGUAAGCAAGGCAAAGUACUCCAGGCCAUGGGGAGUCCCUGAAGACUCGAUGAACUGCAGUGGCCACAUCAGGAGGUUGCAGGUUAACCAGAACUCACCGACACAGCAGGAGAGCAGCUUGGAACCUGCAACCUAGCCAAAACCUAGUGCCUUGGAUUGGGGGAGAAAACAUGCAGCCAUUCCUCUCUCUCUGCUGGCUAGAGGGGAUUCUGGCUUUUCCUCCCAGAGCCACCCCUUUCCCUCCUCCUAAAGUUGAUGGUGGUUCUUUAAGGAAAGGGAGAAGUGCACAGUGUGAUAGGGCAGGAAGAGAAGGAAACGGAGGAGAGGAGGGGACUUUCCCAUAAGCAGGCAGAAGAAAAGGCAGCUGUGUUGUGAUGGACAUGGAUGCAGUGGUGUCCGAUGUGGGGUCAGCCCUAGAGGAGAGACAGAGAGAGAGACAGAAAAGUGAGAGAGUCCUGACCCUUACGAUUAACAUGGGAUCUGCCUGCAAAUGCUGUUUAGGGCCAUUGCCUCUUCCUGUACUGCUAUUUUUGAGAGUGAUGCUCCUGAGCCCCAUGACCCAGUCAAAUUUGAUGUCCCCUCGAGCCAGAUUCAGUGCUGGGAGUCCAGUGUGAUCUGCCUGGAUCUUGCUGCAUUGAGAACAGGCCAGAUCUUGACCCCAAUACAGGGGCUGGAUAUGAACAGGCAAUAGCUGGGUUUCUGAGUCAGAAAGACUUGGUUGAUUGCUAAUUGCUUAGGCGAGUAAUUUAAUUUUGUUGAGUCAGAUUCCUCAGCUACAAAAUGCAGAUGACAGUACUUACUCCUCCAGGUUGUGGGGAAAAUGGAGAUUCUGAGCACGAUGUCCAUUUCACAGAAAGGUACCAAUUUGGUGGCUUAUUUUCCUUUCUACCUUCAGAAGUGGCUAUCCCUGCCACCCAAACAGACCCUUGACUCUCAAGUGUACGGGGUCCCAUUUACACAGGGGGAGAGCUUACAGCCUACGUUGAGUCUAUACUUACCACUUAGUGAGCAUGGUAUCCGCUCAGGGGCCUCUGUGGGCAUCCAUCUCCUCUGCAGCAUCUUUCCUCCCCACCGCUGGGCCUGCACAUGACCCCCUCCUUGGGUUAGACCUCUGAUCAGUGAUGACCUUGGUAUGCUGGUGAUGGUCAGUCUUGGCACCAAAUGAGACAGUUUAUGUCAUCAGCUAUUCAAUAAAACACUAAUCUAGUUGUCACCGUGAAAGUAUUUUGUGACAUUGUUAUGUACGUGUUGUUACAAAUGUGCAUGAUGCAUUUACUACAGCAUAGAAUUUUGCCUGGGUGCCAGCCUGAAGUCUGUCCGACAGAUCAUAGCCAUGUUAGUCCCACAGUCACAGAGGCCAAUGGAUUAAAUUAUUUUAUCUCCCUUGAGAACAAAAAAUAAAAUCCUAAGCCCCCCACCCGACUUAACAGACCCCCUGUUGGCCAACGGAACCUCAAAUAAAUCUUAAAAUUCAGUUCUCGGCCAUGACAGGACAGGAGGUCAGACAUACCUCCCUGUACCUCCCUCCCUCUUAUGGUUUAGACCCAACAACUGAGCAGCAUUAAUGUUAAAAUAGAGAUCAUGAGACUGACAGAACAGACUCUUUGUGGCAAUAAGACCUCAAAUUAUAAACAGGGCCUAGGGCCAUGCCAGGCGAGGGUUAAGUCUUGUACCCUACUCUUAAAGAAUUAACUAGAUUCUAACUACCACAUGGGUUUUAUUUUUCUCUAGCAGCCAAGCAAGCACUGGCUGUGAGAGAAGCAAGAUUAAAACAAUUACAACUCACCCAGUUCACAGACGCUGAGUAACUGAUCUCCUGCCCCACUAACCUUAACGACAGCUUUCUCUGGACAAGGGACUGAUUUCAGUAACUUUCUCCUGAUAAGAGACCAUCCUCCAUGGACUGGUUCUGGCCAGUUUUAGAGGCUGUGCCUUUACAGAGGCUGAGCCUUUACAGAGGCUGAGUACCUUUAUGUCCCUGCUUCACUUUUUGAUGUGUAGGGCCUAAUUAUAAUACAUUUAAAUGUCAAGUCUCCACCCCAGAAUGAACAUGCAUGUUUAUUGAAUAUGCAUGCGUUAGGACCUCUUUUAUGAGUAUUCUCAUAAAAUGAUGUAGCUCCUCUGAUAUCCUAUUGAGUAUGUAUAUGUAGCCAACUCAUUUGGCUCAAAUUCCUGUCCUCUCCUUCCCUCCCUGGAAAUGCCUGCCUCUGGCCUUGGCUGUAGGCCACACUUCCCAGCCUGUCAUAAUGGCCACCUUGCGGACUGCAAACCUUUAUAAGAAAUAAAGCUCUCUUUUCUAAAUUUAUAAAAUUUUGUGAUUUUUCAGUUGAUGCUCUCUUUCUACACACAUACACCCGCACACACACACACGCAAUUUAUACAGAAGGAAAUCUGGAGAAUAUACGUGGGAAUGGAUAUUAAGUGAGUGGCACCAUGGUGGAAGUAACAUAAAGUUGGAUUCGGCUACAUUUAUUAAUGUUGGCCCACUAAACAGAGAUUCUGGACUCAGGGUUGUAAGUCAAAGCUUUAGAAAGGGCUCCAAGGGUUGGUUUGAUCGGUUACUUGGUUGGUUGGUUGCUUGCUUGCUUGGUGCUUGCUUCCUUGCUUGGUUGUUUGGUUGGUUUGUUGCUUGCUUGUUGGUUGAUUGGUUGGCUGUUUGCUUAUUUGUUUGGUGACUUGGUUGGUUGGCUGAAACAGAAUCAGAGUUUACCUAAGGUACAUAAAGUUGAGAUGCCACAACUUCCUUGGUUUAUGUGUACAGAAAGGUAUGCAAAAACUCACGGAGACUGGAUUUAUUAUGUCAGACCUGCUCACUCACACUGGAGGGUCUACAGAACAUACUCCUCACGACGAUCAUGAGAAAGAAUAUUGUGAGAGGAGCCCAGUAUCCUGGAAGAGCUUUGAGCUUGUGCUCUCAGUAGGCAAAAUGUUACAGCAGGAACUGCAGCCACUGGACUGGGAUCUUUAAGUAAAAUGAGGAUAAUUGAAUCCUAGGGUGGCAGGGAACAUGGGCUGUCCUUAAUCACCGAAGAUAAGGUGGGUGUGGUCACCACAGUGGAAAGCAGUGUCAAAGCAGCAGUCAGAAUGGUUUGACUCACAGACACCCACGGCAUUGUGUAAUCCAUGGUAUCCACAGGGAGAGCUAAUGGGCUGUACCAAAGUCUUAGUUGUUCUUUAAAAAAUGAAGAAUUCUAGGUCAACUGAAUAAAAGACUAACUCAAAUUAAUGAAACACAGAUCUAAAACCCUCAAUCAAUUCCCAGACUUGAGCCAGUUCACAGGCCCACAACCCCUUAAGUGAAGGGGAGGCUGGGUGAUCUUGGGGAAGUACGCUGCUACAUUGCCAAAAAUUUACAUUGUUUAUCUUUUUCCCAGUCUUCCCCAAAGGGACCUACAGCCUUCUGCCAGGAUGACUAUGACUUAAAGAAAAGAAAAUUCUCAGAUAUUUGGGGAAUUACCAGACACUGGCUCUGAUUUGACACUAUUAUCACUAUGUUGCCUAGGAUGGAUUCAUGCUCCUGGGUUCAAGCAGUCCUCCUACCUCAGCCUCCCAAAGUGCUGGGAUUACAGACAUGAGCCACUGUGGCCAGCAGAGCUUUGAAACUAGAACAUG
rnacentral:lncRNA from 1 species